rnacentral:tRNA from 1 species
CAGAAGAUAGUUUACUAAAAACACGGAUCUUGGACAUCCGAAACUGAGAACUAACCCCUCAUCUUCUGAC